rfam:Ictidomys tridecemlineatus contig019173, whole genome shotgun sequence.
UAGGGUGUAGCUCAGUGGUAGAGCACUUGCAUAACAUGCGUGAGUGCCUGGGUUCCAUCCCCAGCAUCUCAA